rnacentral:lncRNA from 12 species
GGAUUGCUCUCUCUAGGAGUAAAUACAAAUGAGAAUAAAGAUUCUGUCAAACUGGGUUUAAGAAGAUAAAAUUUCAAUCCUCAAGCCAUACAAUACUUGAAUUUACUUUUUUUUUUUUUUGAAUUUACUUAUUAUGUGUCUUUUUUAAACUGUUGUAUUCUACUGGCUUGGUAGAGAAAAGUUUUUACUUUAAAAAAAGUGGGCUCUCCUCGGCAAAGUCACUGAAUGGCUAAGUUGCCAUGUUAAGUGUGGCAUGAGGUUUGGUUCUUAUUAUUAAAGUUUGAAGGAUAUUGUUUAUAUGGGGAGAAGGGGAGGAGAAGUGACCAGCACUGUUUCAAAGCUGGCAUUGUUUCUAAAGGUCCCGAGGGAGUGUUACCAUCCCCAAACAUUAACAGAUGUCAUUCUCCUGUCCUGGGUUGACCUAAGGCCUUUACCCACGGUUUCCUUGUGCAGUGAGUUAGCCUGUGUGGAUUUCGUCAUCUUUCCCUCCAGGGCAGGAGGAGCAAAGAGAAGCUCGAGUGGCUGGUGUUGAGAUGGGCAAGUUCAUGAAACCCGGGAAGGUGGUGCUGGUCCUGGCUGGACGCUACUCCGGACGCAAAGCAGUCAUCGUAAAGAACAUUGAUGAUGGCACCUCAGACCAUCCCUACAGCCAUGCUCCGGUGGCCGGAAUUGACCGCUAUCCCUGAAAAGUGACAGCUACCAUGGGCAAGAAGAAAAUCGCCAAGAGGUCAAAGAUCAAGUCUUUUGUGAAAGUUUAUAACUACAAUCACCUCAUGCCCACAAGGUACUCUGUGGAUAUCCCUUUGGACAAAACCGUCGUCAACAAGGAUGUCUUCAGAGACCCUGCUCUUAAACGCAAGGCCUGACGAGAGGCCAAGGUCAAGUUCGAGGAGAGGUACAAGACUGGCAAGAAUAAGUGGUUCUUCCAGAAGCUGCAGUUUUAGAUUUCUUUCUGUCAUUAAAAAUAAAUUAAAAAAAAACAAACA